CGAAGUUUGCUAUUUGGACCGGUCAAACCCAUUGCACAAACCCGAUAAGCACCUUCUUCGUCUUCAACAUUUCUCCUCUGGGAUUUCUAGGAUUCAUGGCCUUCUUCACCUUCUGCUUCCAAACCCGUCCGUGGAGUUUAUGGAAGGUGAUGGGCGACGACUAUUUAUGGAGAAUCUCCGGAGCAAUCCGUUCGUGUCGUUUGGUUUGGAUUUUUUACGCCGGCACGAUUCCUAAUUCAGUUCUUAGAAGCAGAAUGGCGAACUCAUCAUUUCUCCUUGCUGACUUCGAAGCCACCUUCCAAAUCUGUCUGCUCAGAUUUUGGAAGGCCAUGAAUGAGAAAAGAGACGGCGAGCGUAUGGGCGUCGAUAUGCUUCUUCUUGACUCGAAGUCAAAAGGAUAUGAUUUUGAUGUCUGAUGUUCUAACACUAGCACAUGAUCCGUAUCUCUACCACAGUAAGAAAUGAGAGUGUGUAGUCUUCACAAACAAACAGAGAUGCUACAUAACCAGUUUCCAUGUUUUUGAAUAGACCAUGACUUCAAAAGUUGAGACAUGAUAUUAAGAAGUUCUCGGAUGAUUGGGAGACAUGGGCUAGCUGUGAAAGUGAAGAUGAAGCAGCAGAAUAACUGAAACCGUGAGGGGUGGAAGUCUCUCAUCUGAGGUCUUGCGACGGAGCAUUCAAAAUUUUACUCCGGGAACCAUCAAGGAAAAAGGUUAUGCAUGUCUUCCUUAAGAGUGUUUCUGCAAAAGGCAUUGGAGAGGCAUCUUAAUCCACACCUUAAAAAUUUUACUCCGGGAACCAUCAAGGAAAAAGGUUCUGCAUAUCUUCCUUAAGAGUGUUUGUGCAAAGGGCAUUGGGGAUGCAUCUUAAUCCACACCUUUAUAGAGUAACCACACGUAGAAACGUGGCUCUGUAAACUUUUAAUUAAAAGCGUCUUACUUGCUAGAGUAACCACACGUUGAAACGUGGCUCUAUAAACUUUUAAUUAAAAGCGUCUUACUUGCUAUGUGGUUAGAGAAGUAAUGAGGUGUUAAAGACAGUUCAAAGGAAAAAUAGUUCAUGAUUCUUCUAAAAUGAUAGGUCUACCUAUGUAAGAACUCAUC